rnacentral:rRNA from 1 species
AUUGAACGCUGGCGGCAUGCCUUACACAUGCAAGUCGAACGGCAGCACGGGAGCAAUCCUGGUGGCGAGUGGCGAACGGGUGAGUAAUACAUCGGAACGUGCCCAGUAGUGGGGGAUAACCCGGCGAAAGCCGGACUAAUACCGCAUACGACCUACGGGUGAAAGCGGGGGAUCGCAAGACCUCGCGCUAUCGGAGCGGCCGAUGUCAGAUUAGCUAGUUGGUGGGGUAAAGGCCUACCAAGGCGACGAUCUGUAGCUGGUCUGAGAGGACGACCAGCCACACUGGGACUGAGACACGGCCCAGACUCCUACGGGAGGCAGCAGUGGGGAAUUUUGGACAAUGGGCGCAAGCCUGAUCCAGCCAUGCCGCGUGCGGGAAGAAGGCCUUCGGGUUGUAAAACGCUUUUGUCAGGGAAGAAACGCUCCGGGCUAAUACCACGGAGUAAUGACGGUACCUGAAGAAUAAGCACCGGCUAACUACGUG